rnacentral:rRNA from 1 species
CGGGACGGGUGAGUAACACGUGAGCAACCUGCCUUCGAGAGGGGAAUAACGGCUGGAAACGGUCGCUAAUACCGCAUAACAUACCGGGAGGACAUCCUGCUGGUAUCAAAGAUUUUAUCGCUCGAAGAUGGGCUCGCGUCCGAUUAGGUAGUUGGUGAGGUAACGGCUCACCAAGCCGACGAUCGGUAGCCGGACUGAGAGGUUGAACGGCCACAUUGGGACUGAGACACGGCCCAGACUCCUACGGAAGGCAGCAG